CGAGUCGGCCAGAUGAUCGCGGUGCGCAAGCGCUGAGGAAAGUCCGGACUCCACAGAGCAGGGUGGUGGGUAACGCCCACCCGGGGUGACCCGCGGGAAAGUGCCACAGAAAACAGACCGCCCGGCUUCGGUCGGGUAAGGGUGAAACGGUGGUGUAAGAGACCACCAGCACACCGGGUGACCGGUGUGGCUCGGUAAACCCCACCUGGAGCAAGACCAAGAAGGCCAGCCCCGGUUGGCUGCGGACGCUGUCUGAGCGCUGCUCGCGCGAGGCGUCCGGGUGGGUUGCAUGAGCCCGUCGGCAACGGCGGGCCUAGAUGGAUGAUCAUCCUUCGACAGAAUCCGGCUUACCGGCCGACUCGUCCU
rnacentral:RNase_P_RNA from 1 species